AUGUUCUCCUCGCAAUCUGUCAGCCGCAUCAACAACAUCAGAACCUCCCUCAUCAACGCGCAGAAGGGGAACUUCUCCGCCGCCUCCUACUUCGCCGCCAUGCGCGGCUACGCUGACGAGCUCGCCGCCGUGGGCAAGGCGAUUCCCGAUGACGAACUCGCCUCCUACAUCAUCCACAGGCUCGACGCCGACUAUCAGCCCCUGGUCUCUGCCCUCGACGCUCGCGUGACCGAGGUAACUCUUGAUGAGCUCUUUGCCAUGCUAUCCAACUUCGAUUAGCGCAUGGCGCAAUUCCAAGGAUCCGGCGGC
rnacentral:rRNA from 1 species